GUGCUUGUAGCUCAGUUGGAUAGAGUGUCAGCCUCCGAAGCUGAAGGUCGCGGGUUCGAUUCCUGCCAAGCACACCA
rnacentral:tRNA from 1 species